GGCAGGGUGGUGUAGUGGUUUGAGUGCUGGACUAUGACUCUGGAGAGCAGGGUUUAAGUCCCUGCUCAGCCA
rnacentral:tRNA from 1 species